GACGAACGCUGGCGGCGUGCCUAAUACAUGCAAGUAGGACGCAGUCGCGAACGUGUGAGUAACGCGUAGGUAACUACCUAUUAGAGGGGGAUAACUAUUGGAAACGAUAGCUAUACCGCAUACUAGUAGAUGGAACUGAGUUGUAUUAGUUAGUAGGUAGGGUAAUGGCCUACCCAGGCAACGAUACAUAGCCGACCUUGUGGGGUGAUCAGGCACACUGGGGCUGAGACACGGCCCAGACUCCUGCGGGAGGCAGCAGUAGGGAAUCUUCGGGCAUGGGGGGAACCCUGACCGAGCAACGCCGCGGGAGAGAAGGAGGUGUUCGGAUCGUAAAGCUCUGUUGUUAAGGGAGCGGUACUUAACCAGAAAGAGACGGCUAACUACGUGCCAGCAGCCGCGGUAAUUC
rnacentral:rRNA from 1 species